GUAUUCCCGAGCAGACGGAAAUAACUUGGGAAGGUCAGUUUUUGAUAUUGUGAGAAGAUCAAAAUCCGUUAUUGGGAUGAUCGGAUUAGUUGUUAAAAUAACAAAUUUCCAUAACAAAGAUUUGUUCGAAAAAUAACUAAAAUUGUUAUUGCUCUGUUAUUACAAUAACAUUCUAAUAACAUAGAAUCCAGAACAAUAGAAUAACAAGGUUAGUUAUUCUGAGCGAUGGAUGGGGUGCACCCAAAUAACAAAAAGUGUUAUUUAUAUGGAUUGAUUGCAUAACAAAAAGUGUUAUUAUUUUGUCACAUGGAAAGUUGCCUGAGCAGAAGUUUGUAACAGAAACAAAAACAGAAAAAAUAACUAAAAAUAUCAAAAUUGUAUCAAAAAUAGAUUGAAAUAUUUUUUUGCUGUAUCAAAAUCUGUUUUUAGAUAGCUGUGCAUUCGAAUUAUUUGAGGCUAGUAAACUUUGCUACAGCUCAAAGCUUUUUGAUCCCAAAAAAAUAGAUUCCAGUGCACCCCUCCUAAUUUUGAACCCAACUUCCCCCCCCCCCCCACCACGCUUUCACUUUUUCAAAAAAAAAAGCCCUUCAAAUAUAAUAACAAGUAUUUAAAUAGUUUAAAAUAAUUAUUUUGCAACAUUUUACAAACUUUCAAUGCCUGGGACAUUUUGGGGAGAAUUAAGAACAUAAUUAAGUCCAGUAAAGUUGUAUACGGAUAAAGCCAAAUAAAUUUAAAGAAAAGGGAAAAAGUCCUUUGUUUAUGUAUUGCUUGAUUAUUGUAACAAAAUGUUUCAAAAUGUUUCAAAAUGAUUACACUGACCUACAAAAAUUGACAAAAAUGACUGCGCAGCCUCAACUCGAACACACUUUGAAUUUUUUCAAAAAUAUUUAGACGGGACCGAAUAGUUUUUCUCAAAAGUUUGUAUGGAGAAUCAGGGCGGUUCGUCGCUGCUGAAUACAAGCAAAAAUUGCAUGCAAUAUGUGGGACUAGCGAACAGCAUUCUCCAUACAAAUUUUGAAGAAAAACCAUUCCGCCAUGUCUAAAUAUUUUUGAAAAAAUCAAAGUACACGUCUUUCUGAGCCUACGCAGAAAUUUUGUUGGUCGGUGUUACUAUCGCAUCUUUUAAAAGCUACAAUUUACUUUUAAAAAUUCAUCCAGCAUUUUUUUUUUUUUUUGCUAUGAUGAAUUUUCAACAUACAAUCAAUAGAAAAAAAGUGAUAGGUUCACCUCGAAUAAUUAUUUUAACUUACUUUGACCAUCUGGAAAUCCAUCUUUCAGGCUAAGGAUUGUGUUAGGUUUUUUUUAUCAGUCCAUUGGGCGCCAGUUUGAAUCCAGUGUGCGCAAAAAGUUUUCUCCAACAUAAAAUACCAGAUUGAUUUUUAGUUUCCAGUCCUGCGAAAAAGAGAAAAAUAAAAACACAAAGAAUCAAUUCUUCAAUGACAAUUUGACCGUAUAAAGUAUGGGAAAUGAGCCCAUUCUAAUAAAAUUUCUAAUCUGCAAUUGGUCAUCUAAUUACGGUUUAGUCAACAUUAGGUGCUCGAUGGAAAAACAUGUCUUUUGGCUAAUAAAUAUCUCAAUCCUGAAGGUUUGACUUGAGAGAUACAAUAAACCAUUUUUUUUUUGCUUUUAAAUACCCUUGACUUUUUGCUUUUAAAUACCCUUGACUCGAGGCGGUUUCACAAAAACACCUAAAAAGCUUAAAAAAUUAAUCGAAAAAAAAAAUUGAUAUCGAAUAAUCGAAUCGAAAAACUGCUUUGUUUACAACUGGCGCUUAGGACCUUUUAAAACAAACCCGAGAUUUCCUCCUGGAGGGAGAUGAGGAGGAUAAGAACGAGGACAGUGAAGAAGAGAAAUUGAAAAAGAAGGAGAAAGUGGUGGAAUAGUUAAAUAUACUUAUCUAAUUAACCACGCCUGCUGAUAGAGGAACUUUCGUUGAGGAACAACAACAACUCGACAACUGACCAGGGUUUCAAACGGGAUGUUCACGAUCAGGUUGAAUCCAACAAAUUGUCGUCGGCACCGGCAGUCUGAACCGUCAGUCAGUCGGAUUUUUCCGGAAGAAUCUUCAGACAAAAACACGCCGAGUUCAGAACCCCAAAUCUGAGAAGAAACCUUUAUCAACAAACAGAAUGGCAUGUUUGUUUACAAAGACAAAAUUUCGUGGUUUUCCAGUUGAUUUGUUUAGAUUGAAAGGAAAGUUCCGGAAUGUGAACAAUCCCCUUUAAGCCUCACGUAAGAUUCAUAAGAUUAAAGAACCAGGCUCAUUUCAAAACAAACAAACUAAUCAACUAGAAUCCAACCAAUUUUGUCCUUUUACAAAAUCGGAUUGAUCAAGGAUCAACUUACCCGCUCGAAGGAUUCGCACACGGUGGAGGAACAAUCCCGGAAUCGGCUGCCACCUUCGUUGCAAAUUUCCUUCUCAGGAGGUUUUGAUCCAGCUGGGCGAGAAUCUGGUGCAUUUGUUUUCAGGUCAGGCGCCGCGAAAACAAUCAAACCUGGCCGAAGCUUGUUGCAUGAGCAGUAAACAUCAUUUUAUUUUUUUUUUUACAUUAUUAAUCACUUUAAAAAAACACACACACACACACACACACACACACGGGGAUUUGCCACAGACUUCCGCUAAAUCGAUUCCCGCCUCCUCCAGUGAAAGAUUCCUCUCGCACAGCCAAAAUAAUACACCUGAAUACGAUUUUUCAGGCUUCAAUUCCACCGCGGACAUAAACAAACACGACGGAACCGGAUUCAGGACACAGCUUUGUCUUCACUUCACUUUUUCCAGCAACGAUUGUAAACAAACAAACAAACGCGAAAAGUUGAACGCAAAGUUCGCGGCGACGACCGACAUAAACAAAAAGCCAGCUGCGAUUGUUGUUUUGACAUUUCCCAGAGCGAGCGCUCGCACACUCGUCGUGUCCGACGUCGCGCGGGGGGCAGAAAAAAAGAGAUCGCGGUAUUGCGCGUUGCACGAAAAACUUUACUGGCGGACGUUUUGAUAUAAUAAACAUUAUUUGCCACUUUUGUUCACACGAAUUCUAAUGUUUAUUUUUCUGUAGAAGAAUAACACUUUUACUAUUGUAUUCAAACCAACAAUUUGCCGGAUAGUUUUGUUUAUGGAGCCAAAAAGUUAAGUAAAAUUUAUUGCUUUUUGAAAAGAAUUGCAAAGGACAAUACCACCAUCAAGACACAGUACUGCCAUCUUCGGUCAAUAUUUGAUUGAGGUUUGUAUCUUGGCUUAAAGUGAUCGAUCAGUUCUGUUCAAAUAUGACGUGAGAUGUCAGUACCGUUUCGAACAGUCGAAGAUUUUCCAAAACAAAUGGUCAAAAUGUGAGUCGUAAAUUUCAAAAUUAUUUUAUGCCAAUUCAGGAUAACCAAUUGUAGUAUUGUUUACUUCAGUGUCGUCGCUAUUUCAAGAAGGCCAAGCCGAUCGUCAAUUUUGGCAAAAAGGCGCCGCGGUGUAGCUACCGUUCAACGACGGAGGACGUCGCUUCCAGUGUUUGUCGAAGUUCCUGCGGAGUACUUGCAGCAUCUGGAUCAAACCGGCCAGUGAAUGAACAAGUACGAGCGCCCAGAGUUUACGAGCGUACGAGUUUGUGGCCACCGAGAACUACUGCCGGAACAAUACCCCGCCGAAGUCACCGGCGAUGGAAUUCGUGAUUAACGUGUCGUAGUCCGUCAUGCCCAUGCUGGACGGUUUACUUGUCGAUCCGGAAGAGUCCACCGACGUGAUCGACUGAUGCAGCAUGUUUGAAGACACGAGUGAAACCGGGACCAUCCGACUGCCGGCCUGGAAGCGCUCAAGGCGUCGGACUGCGCCGGCAGCUAUACGUGUACAACUCGUCCCUGCUAAUUGUGGAAGCGCCCGGCAAGCUGAAUGCUCGCGACAACCGCAAGCCGCUCGGCACGGACAAGGGGAAGACGGUGCUGAACGAGUGGAGAUCUAUCUUGUGGGAGAAAUAGUUGGUUUAAUUGAGUCCUUCCCCUUCAGCAGCGCCCCAGUCGCCACUGCGUGUACAACGAGCUCGGCUAGGAGUGUGUCGGUGCGGGCGUUACCGUGGUUCUGUUUAUCAUGAGCAACUUGUACAUCGAUUUGGCGACCAUCGGACAGGUGCCCGGAUGACCGGAGGUGAUAUCUACAACCGAUAUCGCACGCAGCUGCUGGAGAACAACCUGAUAAAGGACACUCGCGUCUGAUCGCGUUCGAUACGGUGAUGCGCGUGCGUAUCUCCCUCGACAUCCGGCCGAAUUCUUUGGGCACUUCUUCAUGUGGCGAUCGAGACCAAGCACAACGAUAAGCUGACCGACAAGAACGUGUUCGCAAAGCGCGUGCUUUAGGGGGGCGUGAGCCGUUAAUGUUAGCCACUCGAUUUAUCUAAUGAUGUCAAUAAAGUUGACUUUGACACUAA